AGAGUUUGAUCNGGCUCAGAACGUACGCUGGCGGCACGCCUAACACAUGCAAGUCGAACGCAGUAGCAAUACUGAGUGGCAGACGGGUGAGUAACAUGUGGGAAUCUGCCUUGUGGUUCAGGACAACAUUGGGAAACCGAUGCUAAUACUGGAUAAGCCCUUACGGGGAAAGUUUUAAUGCCAUAAGAUGAGCCCGCAUUUGAUUAGUUAGUUGGUGAGGUAAUGGCUCACCAAGACAAUGAUCAAUAGCUGAUCUGAGAGGAUGAUCAGCCACACUGGGACUGAGACACGGCCCAGACUCCUACGGGAGGCAGCAGUGGGGAAUCUUGCACAAUGGAGGAAACUCUGAUGCAGCGAUGCCGCGUGAGUGAAGAAGGCCUUUGGGUUGUAAAGCUCUUUUGUAGGGGAAGAUAAUGACUGUACCCUAAGAAUAAGGUCCGGCUAACUUCGUGCCAGCAGCCGCGGUAAUACGAAGGGACCUAGCGUAGUUCGGAAUUACUGGGCGUAAAGCGCGCGUAGGCCGUUGAGUUAGUUAAUUGUGAAAUCCCAAAGCUUAACUUUGGAACUGCAAUUAAAGCUGCUCGACUAGAGUUUGAUAGAGGAAAGCGGAAUACAUAGUGUAGAGGUGAAAUUCGUAGAUAUUAUGUAGAACACCAGUUGCGAAGGCGGCUUUCUGGAUCAACACUGACGCUGANGCGCGAAAGUAUGGGUAGCAAAGAGGAUUAGAUACCCUCGUAGUCCAUACCAUAAACGAUGAUUGCUAGAUGUUGGAAAUUUAUUUUCAGUAUCGCA
rnacentral:rRNA from 1 species